AGGUUUCCAGAGUAAAGCUGAUCUGCUCUAGGUAAGUCGGGGCCUAAGGCGAGGACGAGAGUCGUAGCCGAUGGACAACAGGUGGAGAUUCCUGUACUGCGGUAUGACAGAACUGUGGGGACACGUAAGGAAAGCGGAAGCCGGGAAUGGAAAGCCCGGUGCAAGCGGGGUACCAGUCACUUUGGCAAAUCCGGGUGGCAAUGGGAAUCCGUGAUGCGGAGCGAAAUAAAGUAGCGAAGUCCGUGAGCCAUGCGUCAAGAAAAGCCGCUAUUGUUUAUACCGUACCCGUACCGUAAACCGACACAGGUGGAUGAGGAGAGAAUCCUAAGGCCGGCGGAAGAAGCAUUGUCAAGGAACUCGGCAAAAUGGCCCCGUAACUUAGGGAUAAGGGGUGCCUCAGAAAUGAGGCCGCAGAGAAUAGGCUCAAGCAACUGUUUAGCAGAAACACAGGUCUAUGCGAAACCGAAAGGUGAGGUAUAUGGGCUGACGCCUGCCCGGUGCUGGAAGGUUAAGAGGAGAGGUUAGCGGUAAUGCGAAGCUUUGAAUUUAAGCCCCAGUAAACGGCGGCCGUAACGAUAACGGUCCUAAGGUAGCGAAAUUCCUUGUCGGGUAAGUUCCGACCCGCACGAAAGGCGUAAUGGUUUGAGCGCUGUCUCGACAAUGCAUCCGGUGAAAUUGAAGUACCAGUGAAGAUGCUGGUUACCUGCGCCAGGACGGAAAGACCCCAUGGAGCUUUACUCCAGUCUGGUACUGGGACUCGGUAUUGCAUGUACAGGAUAGGUGGGAGGCUAGGAGAUGGUAACGCCAGUUGCCAUGGAGCCGCUGUUGGGAUACCACCCUUGCAGUAUUGGGUUUCUAACCAGCCGCCGUGACCCGGCGGUGGGACAAUGCCAGACGGGGAGUUUGACUGGGGCGGUCGCCUCCGAAAGGGUAUCGGAGGCGCCCAAAGGUUCCCUCAGAAUGGACGGAAACCAUUCGAAGAGUGCAAAGGCAGAAGGGAGCUUGACUGCGACACCGACGGGUGGAGCAGGUACGAAAGUAGGGCUUAGUGAUCCGGUGGUAUUAAGUGGGAAUGCCAUCGCUCAACGGAUAAAAGCUACCCUGGGAUAACAGGCUUAUCACUCCCAAGAUUCACAUCGACGGAGUGGUUUGGCACCUCGAUGUCGGCUCAUCGCAUCCUGGGGCUGUAGUAGGUCCCAAGGGUUGGGCUGUUCGCCCAUUAAAGCGGUACGCGAGCUGGGUUCAGAACGUCGUGAGACAGUUCGGUCCCUAUCCGGCGUGGGCGUAGGAUAUCUGAGAGGAGCUGUCCUUAGUACGAGAGGACCGGGAUGGACGGGCCGCUGGUGCAUCGGUUAGACUGCCAAGUCUACGGCCGAGUAGCCAAGCCCGGAAGGGAUAAACGCUGAAGGCAUCUAAGCGUGAAGCCCCCCUUAAGAUGAGAUAUCCCAUUCGAAAGAAGUAAACCCCCUUGAAGACGACGAGGUAGAUAGGGCAGAGGUGGAAGUGCAGCAAUGCAUGGAGCUGACUGUUACUAAUCGGGUGAGGGCUUGACC
rnacentral:rRNA from 1 species